AGGACCAGACUUCAUUCCGAGUGAAGUUGUUUAACUCCUCUUGCAUUGCGAUUAUCCAAUCCGGAUCACCCAGCGCUUCUUCAACCUUAAGUGGCUCAAGAGAGGAAACAAACGAGUAAAAUUCACAAAAAUUUGCUAAACGAGAUCUAAUUGUUACCCCUCUUUUGAUACUCCCAAGAAUGUUGUCCACUGGAUGAUCUCUUUGGAUGGUAUGGUGGACUCGAGGAUGGGGCACUGAUGGUUGUCUUUAAAUUUGUUCUUCAUCAUUAUCCACUUGAUCAAGAGGCACUUCAUCAACAACAACUUCAGGUUCAUCUUCCACCAUGGUUGGCAUCUUUUGGGGUUGAUGAACUUCUUCAAGAAUUGGAUGACUUGAGGUUGAUGGGUUUGCUUGAGUGGAGGAUUUAUCACCCACCACCUUUGCGCCCACAUCAAAGACCUCAUUUGUCAUCCACAAGGUUCCUUCUUCAUCAUCCUUUUCUUGUGGUCUCACUUCACCUAUUGCAAGCUUCUUUAUGGCCUCACAAGGUGGUUCUUCAUUUCCUGCAAUAUCAUUGGAAACAUGCCCUUGCGAGCCAUUAGAUUCAUCAAAUGUCAUGUCUAUCGCUAUUUCAACAAGACCGGUGGUAUUGUUGAAAACACGAUAUACAUGUGCAUUUUAUGCAUAACCAAGCAAGAAACCCUCGUCCACUCUAGGAGCAAACUUUGAGCUCUUGACUUUCUUGUUAAGAAUAAAGCAUUUACAACCAAAAACUCUAAAGUAAUCCACUUUAGGUUUGUUACCAGUGAGAAGCUCAUAAGCAGUCUUCUUAUAGACCUUAUAAAGAUAUAGCCGGUUGAUUGCAUGACAGGCGGUGUUGACCGCCUCAGCCUAGAAGUUGUCAGGUGUCUUGUAUUCAUCUAACAUGGUUCUUGCGGCUUCAAUUAGUGUUCUAUUUUUCCUCUCCACUACACCAUUUUGUUGUGGAGUGUAGGGGACCGAGAACUCAUGUUUGAUUCUUUCUUCGCUUAAGAAUUCUUCAACACCUGUAUUCUUGAACUAUGUCCCAUUGUCACUUCUCACUUUCUUGAUUUUAAGCUCAAACUCAUUUUGAGCUCUUCUCAUGAAUUUCUUCAAAGUCUCUUGGGUUUCACCUUUGUCACUCAAAAAGAAAACCCAGGUGAAGCGAGAAAAAUCAUCAACAAUAACUAAACCAUACUUACUUCCACCAAUACUAAUGUAGGCCACAAGUCCGAAGAGGUCCAUGUGAAGAAGCUCCAAAGGCCUCUUGGUUGUGACCACAUUCUUUGAUUGAUGUGGAACGCCAUGUUUCUUCCCUGCUUGACAUGCGCUACAUACCCUACGCAACAUUUGUUAGUCCAAUGAUGUGACUAUCUUUUUGAAGUUUGGCCAAAUUCCUCAUGCCGACAUGAGCUAGCCGGCGAUGCCAUAACCAACCCUUGUCGGAUUUUGCCACUAAACAAGUCUCAGGCGUCACCUUACUUGUUGUCAAAUCAACAAGAUAAAGUUUGCCCUUCAAGCGACCCGUAAAAGCAACUGAGGAAUCCUCCCUUCUAAGGAUCUUCACAUCCACAACAGAAAAUAGACAGUUAUAUCCCAUUCCACAAAGUUGUGAAACAGACGUCAAAUUGUAGCUUAGAGAAUCUACUAGCAAAACAUUUGAAAGUGAUUGUUGGUCAGAGAUAAGAAUUUUACCAAUACCAAUCACUUUACUCUUGCCACUAUCUCCAAACACAAUUUCUUGUGCUUCUUGAGUUAGUUGCAAGGAGUGAAACAUGUCUUUCUCCCCGGUCAUGUGAUUUGUACAUCCACUGUCAUGCACCCAGCUUGACCCACCAGAGGAGUAGACCUGCAAAACAAAUUUAGGCUAUGCUUUUAGGUACCCAAAUUGAAUUGGGUCCUACAGUGUUAGUUAUAGCCUUGGGUACCCACACACUUCUUUUCAUGACCUUUCUCUUAGUGUGGGCACCCACAUAUUUAACAACCAAUUUUCCUGAAUCCCAAGUCAACAUAUAAUCACAAUUGUGAUUGGAAUGAGAAAUGGGAGCUCUAAACUUUUCUCCAUUUGUGGAGACCGCAUCCUUCAUCUUAUCCUUUGUUGAACUCAAGUUUACCUUUACUUGAGUUGACUUGUCAUUUGAGGAGUGAAUCCUCCCCAAGGCAUCAUAUAGGGUGGUUCCCUCUAUGAACUUGGGGGAUCUCCACCCCUUAUGCUAUAUGCUAGGUUUACCUUAUAUGAGUUGUACCCAAGCCCCUUUCUCCCAUUGUUGGGCUUCAGGGACUUCUACUUAGGCUCAACUUUCUUUAACCCAUCAUUGCUAGAGCAUUUCUUCAAUAUUUCUUUGACCUUAACCUGUGGGCUUUUCUUCCUUGCAUGAUUAGUCAAACAACAAGAAGCAUGGUAUUUUGUACAAUGUUUACAAACAUUAUUAUUUGAGAAGCUAGCUUUAGACUCUUCCACUAAAGAUGAAGUGUUGAAGUUCUUGCAGUUUUCAAGUUGCACUUGAAGUUCUUGAUUUUCAACUGUUAAGCAUGACAAGCUUGACUCAAGUGCAUCCUUUUCCUUUGCAAGACUAAAUAUAGAGGUUUUUACAUUAGUCAUUUCUUUCUCUUUAUCCUCUAUAGUUAUUUUGACUAAAGAUAUUUCCUUAGUCAAAACUUCAAGCAUCUCAUCUUUAUUGGAUAGCAAUUCUUGAAGCUCUAGGUUUCUCUCCUUUUCAAGGAUGAGCAAGUCUUCUUGAGCGUCAAGAGUUGCUUUUAUUUUAUCUAGCUUCUCCAUUAGUUUAGUAAUUACAUUGUAUCCAUUUAAACCAAAUUCUUUAAUCAUCUUAUUUUUCAUAGCAAGUUGUUCUUCAUCAUCAUUAAUAAAGUCAUCAUUAAAUAAAUGUACCUUGUCUCCUUUUGCCAUGAGGCAAGUUGGAGUGUAGGAGUCGUCAUGAAGGUUGGUGAAGAGUUGCGAGCUUGAAGUAGAUUGGAUGGCUGAGAGCACCUAGAGGGGGGUGAAUAGGUGAUCCUGUAAAAUCAAACACUAAAUAGCCACAAGACUUAGUUUAUUAGAGAGUUAGUGCGACUAAGUAGCUUUGAAGCGAGUUCUUGUGAACACAACAAUCACAGAGAAAGCAACACAAGAGACACGCUAUUUUUAUCCCGUGGUUCGGCCAAGUAACACUUGCCUACUUCCACGUUGUGGCGUCCCAAUGGACAAGGGUUGCACUCAACCCCUUUCAAAUGAUCCGAUGAUCAACUUGAAUACCACUGGCUUUUCCUUUAGAGUCUUUUCCCAUGUGCGAGGAAUCUCCACAGUUUGGAGUCUCUCGCCCUUACAAUGGAGAUCACAAAGAAAGCACAGAGUAAGGUUGGGGAGAGCAACACACGCAAGACUCAAAUCCGCAGCACACCCACGCACACAAGUCACGACUUGAGCUCGAAACACAACACACGGAGUUCGCAAAUCAAAUGGAGCUCAAAUCACUAACACAGAGAAUCAAAUGCGUGGAGUCGGAGUCUGGGAGUCUUAGAAUGUUUCUUGAAAGCUUGGUGUAAUGCUCCAUGUGCCUAGGGGUCCCUUUUAUAGCCCCAAGGCAGCUAGGAGCCGUUGGAGAUCAAUUUGGAAGGCCAAUCUUGCCUUCUGUCGAGUGGUGCACCGGACAGUCCGGUGCACCACCGGAUAGGCCCUGUAGCUGUUCGGUGCGCAAUCUCCUUCCAUAUAGGGCACAUCCGACCGUUGCUCCUCCGGGCCCGUUGGCGCACCGGACACUGUCCGGUGCACCAACUGACCGUUGGAGCAGUCCACGUGUCGCCCGCAGAUUGCGCGGCUGACCGUUGGCGCUGGCAACCGUUGGCUCACCGGACAGUCCGGUGCACCACCGGACAGUCUGGUGAAUUUUAGCCACGUCGCCUUUUCCAUUUCCCGAGAGCGGCGAGUUCGUCGCGGUUGACUCACCGAACAGUCCGGUGCACCACCGGACAGUCCGGUGAUUUAUAUCCGUACAACUCCGUCGAUUCCCAAGAGCAGCUGGUUCACCGUCGGCCAGCCUAGGGCACCGGAAACUGUCCGGUGCACCACCGGACAGUCCGGUGUGCCAGGUUGAGCUAGAGUUAGCUGCACACAGCCAACUCUUUCCCAUUUCUUUUCUCCUUCUUUUGUCACUGUUUCUAGCACUUAGACAUACACAUUAGUAUUCAAAAACAAUGUACUAAGCCUAGAAACAUACCUUGUAAUAUGAUUUGCAUUUCUCUAUUUAUUUAUCACAUAAGAACUUAAUCAAUCUUGUUGGGCAUUUAAUCACCAAAACAUUAUAGAAAUGGUCCAAGGGUGCAUUUCCCAUUCAAUCUCCCCCUUUUUGGUGAUUCAUGCCUACACAUUAAAAAGCAAUAGAAAGAAGUGCAACAUUAGUGCAAAUGAAGACCAAAUUCUCUUUACUUAGGAUUUGGCAUAUUUGGAUCAUUCUUUGCCACCACUUGGUUUGUUUUUGCAAAUCAAAUUCAUUCUUCUAUCUCUAAGUUAAACACGGUUGUUUGGGCACAUAGAGAGAUAUUCCAAGAGUAAAAUUAAUCAAGUGCCAAAAACUCCCCCUUUUCCCAUAAUCAAAAUUCUCCCCAACAAGAGACCAAAUUUUGCACUAAGAGUAUUUUGAGCAAAUCACAAAUUCUUACUCUAUUAUUUUCAAAAAUUCACAAGUGGUUGGCUGAUCCAUUUUGCUUUGGCCUUAAUUUCUCCCCCUUUGGCAUUACGCACCAAAACGGGAUCAUUUUUGGCCCCUUUAACCCCAGUGCCUCACCAAAAAUGUCAAUUAAGAGCAAAAAGGCAAUGAGAGCAUAAGUAUGAACUUGGAAUUAAAUACACUAAUACCGGAGUGCAGUGGAAGUCUUUGCGUCGUCCAAGUUCAGUUUCCCUUUCAAUGUACCUUUGAGACUACAUCAGGUGUACUUAAACAAACAUGUUAAUCUCAAAGGGUCAAGUUGUAGCACAUCUCCCCCUAAAUAUGUGCACCAUUUGCAUAUGGACUUGUGAGGUCCGGGGAGGACUUGUACAACUUGAGCACCAUAAGUAUACAACGAAUAAUGUAAAUGCUCAAAGUAACAUGAUCAAAGGCAUAGAACACAUGUAUGCUAUAGAUUAAUCCAAGUUACGCGAAUCUAAGACAUUUAGCUCACUACACAACCUGCAAAAUGUUUUCUCAUGCAACGGCUUGGUGAAGAUAUCAGCUAGCUGGUUCUCGGUGCUAAUAUGAUAGAUAUCAAUCUCCCUUUUGUUGGUGGUCCCUCAGGAAGUGAUGCCGGAUGUCUAUGUGCUUAGUGCGGCUGUGUUCAACAGGAUUAUCCGCCAAGCGGAUUACACUCUCAUUGUCACAUAGGAGUGGGACUUUGCUCAGAUUGUAGCCAAAGUCCCGGAGGGUUUGCCUCAUCCAAAGUAGUUGCGCGCAACAUUGUCCUGCGGCAACAUACUCGGCCUCAGCGGUGGAUUGGGCAACGGAUGUCUGUUUCUUGGAACUCCAGGACACUAGGGACAUUCCUAGAAAUUGGCAUGUCCCUGAUGUACUCUUCCUAUCAACCUUGCACCCGACAUAAUCGGAGUCUGCGUAUCCAAUUAAGUCAAAUGUAGACCCCUUUGGAUACCAAUUCCCGAAGCACGGUGUAGCAACUAAAUAUCAAAGAAUUCGCUUAACGGCCACAAGGUAACAUUCCCUAGGGUCGGAUUGAUAUCUAGCACACAUGCAUACACUAAGCAUAAUGUCCGGUCUACUAGCAUAAAGAUAAAGUAAUGAACCUAUCAUGGACCGGUAUGCCUUUUGAUCAACGGACUUACCUCCUUUGUUGAGGUCGACAUGCCCGUUGGUUCCCAUCGGUGUCUUCGCGGGCUUGACGUCCUUCAUCCCAAACCUCUUGAGAAGAUCCUGAGUGUACUUCGUUCGGGAGAUGAAAGUGCCGUCCUUGAGUUGCUUCACUUGGAAUCCAAGAAAGUAUGUCAACUCGCCCAUCAUCGACCUUUCGAAUUUUUGCAUCAUCACCCUGCUAAACUCCUCACAUGACUUUUGAUUAGUAGAACCAAAUAUUAUGUCAUCAACAUAAAUUUGGCAAACAAAAAGAUCAUCAUUGCAAGUCUUUGUAAAAAGAGUGGGAUCGGCUUUCCCAACCUUAAAAGCAUUAGAAAUAAGGAAAUCUCUAAGGCAUUCAUACCAUGCUCUUGGGGCUUGCUUAAGUCCAUAGAGCGCCUUAGAGAGCUAAUAUACAUGAUCGGGAUACCUGUCAUCCUCAAAGCCAGGGGGUUGUUCCACGUAUACCUCCUCCUUGAUUGGCCCGUUGAGGAAAGCGCUCUUCAUGUCCAUUUGAAAUAGCCUAAAGGAAUGGUGAGCGGCAUAGGCUAAUAAUAUUCGAAUUGACUCUAGCCUAGCCACAGGAGCAAAAGUCUCCUCAAAAUCCAAACCUGCGACUUGGGCAUAACCUUUUGCCACAAGUCGAGCCUUGUUUCUCGUCACCACUCCGUGCUCGUCUUGCUUGUUGCGGAACACCCACUUGGUUCCCACAAUGUUUUGCUUUGGACGUGGCACCAGGCUCCAGACUUCAAUCCUUUUGAAGUUGUUGAGCUCUUCCUGCAUGGCCAACGCCAAGUUCGGAUCCUGCAAGGCCUCUUCUACCCUGAAAGGCUCAAUAGAAGAGACAAACGAGUAAUUCUCACAAAAAUUAGCUAAUCGUGAGCGAGUAGUUACUCCCUUGAUAAUGUCACCCAAAAUCUGGUCGACGGGGUGAUGUUUUUGGAUCGACGCUCGGACUUGAGUUGGACGGGCCCGUGGUGCUUCUUCCUCCACCACUUGAUCUUCCUGUGCUCCCCCUUGAUCCUUCCCUUCUUCUUGAGGUAUUUGUCCAUCAUCUCGAGUUGAGGGAUGCACCAGUGUCGAGGAAGAAGGUUGAUCUUGUUCCUAUAGUUCCUGUGGUCGCACAUCACCUAUCGCCAUUGUGCGCAUUGCGGCCGUCGGAACUUCAUCUUCAUCUAUAUCAUCAAGAUCAACUUGCUCUCUUGGAGAGCCAUUAGUCUCAUCAAAUACAACGUCGCUAGAGAUUUCAACUAAUCCCGAUGAUUUGCUGAAGACACUAUACAGCUUUGUAUUUGAGUCAUAUCCUAGUAAAAAACCUUCUACAGCCUUGGGAGCAAAUUUAGAGUGUCUACCUUUCUUCACCAGAAUGUAGCAUUUGCUCCCAAAUACACGAAAGUAAGAGACAUUGGGUUUGUUACCAGUAAGAAGUUCGUAGGAGGUCUUCUUGAGGAGGCGAUGCAAAUAGAGCCGGUUUAUGGCGUGGCAGGCUGUGUUCAAAGCUUCCGACCAAAACCGCUCGGGCAUCUUAAACUCUCCAAGCAUCGUUCUUGCCAUGUCGAUAAGCGUCCUGUUCUUCCUCUCUACCACACCGUUUUGUUGUGGUGUGUAGGGAGCGGAGAAUUCGUGCUUGAUGCCUUCCUCCUCAAGAAACUCUUCAACUUGUAGAUUCUUGAAUUCGGACCCAUUGUCGCUCCUUAUCUUUUUAACUUUAAGCUCAAACUCAUUUUGAGCUCUCCUUAAGAACCGCUUUAGGGUCCCUUGGGUUUCUGAUUUAUCCUGUAAGAAGAACACCCAAGUGAAGUGGGAAAAAUCAUCAACAAUUACAAGACCAUACUUACUUCCCCCGAUGCUUAGAUAGGCAACGGGUCCGAAGAGGUCCAUGUGAAGAAGCUCUAGUGGUCUUGAUGUUGUCAUCACAUUCUUGCCGUGAUGAGUGCUUCCCACCUGUUUUCCUGCCUGACAUGCUGCACAAGGUCUGUCUUUCUCAAAACAGACAUCAGUUAGUCCUAACACAUGAUCUCCCUUUAGAAGCUUAUGAAGGUUCUUCAUCCCAACAUGUGCUAGACGGCGAUGCCAAAGCUAGCCCAUAUUAGUCUUAGCUAUUAAGCAUGCAUCUAGAUCGGCAUUCUCUUUCGAAAAAUCAACUAAGUAGAGCUUGUCAUCUAGUACACCCUUAAAAGCUAGUGAACCAUCACUUCUUCUAAAAACAGAUACAUCUACAUUUGUGAAUAAACAAUUAUAACCCAUAUUACACAAUUGACUCACAGAUAACAGGUUAUAGCCGAGCGAUUCAACUAAAAACACAUUAGAGAUAGAAUGCUUGGAUGAAAUGGCUAUUUUUCCUAAUCCUUUGACCUUGCCUUGGUUCCCAUCUCCAAAGAUGAUCGAAUCCUGGGAAUCCUUGUUCUUGACGUAGGAGGUGAACAUCUUAUUUUCCCCCAUCAUGUGGUUUGUGCAUCCACUGUCGAUUAUCCAGCUAGAACCCCCGGAUGCAUAAACCUGCAAGGCAAUGUUAAGCUUGGGUUUUAGGUACCCAACUCUUGUUGGGUCCUGCAAGGUUAGUCGCAAUAAUUUUUGGAACCCAAAUACAAGUCUUGUCUCUCUUGCAUUUGGAUCCCAACUUCCUAGCAACUACUUUUCAUUCUUACAUGAAAGUACAAAAGAAGUGUUGCAAGCAUGAAAAACAGUAGUGGGUUCAUUGCACAUUUUCCUAGGCACAUGAAGCACAACAUGAUUUCUCCUAGGCCUACCUCUACCAUGAACAAAAGUAGAUCUAGAGGCAAACAUAGCAUGUGAAUCAUUAUAAGCAGUAUGAACAUAACUCUUAUUAUAAUGAGAACAACUAGCAAUUUUCCUAUCAUAAAUAAAGGCAUGGUUCCUUUGAGGACUACUCGCCAAAGGGGCCUUCCCUUUCUCCUUGUUGAGAACGGGAAUCCUUUGGCUUGUUAAGUUCUUGGUUUCCUUUCGAAAACCAAGUCCAUCUUUAAUUGAGGGGUGUCUACCAAUAGUGUAGGCAUCCCUAGCAAAUUUUAAUUUAUCAAAAUCAAUUUUGCAAGUCUUAAGUUGAGCAUUAAGACUUGCCACCUCAUCAUUUAAUUUAGUAAUAGAAAUAAGAUGUUCAUCACAGACAUCAACAUCAAAGUCCUUACAUCUAUUACAAAUACUAACAUGCUCUACACAUGAACUUGUUUUACUAACUUCCUCUAGCUUAGCAUUUAAUUCAUCAUUUACAUUCUUUAGACUAGAGAUAGAUUCAUGGCAAGCAGAUAACUCAAAAGAUAGCAUUUCAUUUCUCUUAGUUUCUAAAGCAAGAGAUUUUUGUACACUAACAAAUUUGUCAUGUUCCUCAUACAAAAUGUCCUCUUGCUUUUCUAGCAGUCUAUCUUUUUCAUUUAGAGCAUCAAUUAAUUCAUUAAGUUUCUCUACUUUGGCUUUAUCUAGACCUUUAAAUAAACUAGAGUAAUCUACUUCAUCAUCGGAGGAUUCCUCAUCACUAGAAGAAGAGUACUUAGGGGAAUAUCGAAUACGUACCUUCUUCUCCUUGGCCAUGAGGCAAGUGUGGCGUUCGUUGGGGAAGAGCGAAUACUUGUCGAAGGCCGAGGCAGCCAAUCCUUCAUCGUCGGAGUCAGAUGAGGAGCAGUCAGAAUCCCACUCAUUUCCAAAAUGUGCCUCGCCCUUUGUCUUCCUAUAGUUCUUCUUCCUUUCCUUCUUCCCGCUCUUUUCUUGUCCCUGCUCAUUAUCAUUAUCGGGACAUUGUGCAAUGAAAUGACCAGUCUUACCACAUUUGAAGUAGGAGCGUUUUCCUCUUGUUUUGUUCUUGUUGGAGUACUCCUUGCGUCCUUUAAGCGCGGUCUUGAAGUGCUUGAUGAUAAGCGCCAUUUCAUCUUCAUUGAGCCCGGCAGCCUCCACUUGUGUCACCUUGCUUGGUAGCGCCUUCCUGCUGCUGGUUGCUUUGAGAGAAACGGGUUGUGGCUCGUAGACGGGUAGUGGGCCGUUUAGUGCAUCGUCCAUGUAUCGAGCCUCCUUCACCAUCAUGCGCCCGCUCUCGAAAUUUCUGAGGAUCUCCUCGGAUGUCAUUUUGGUGUACCUGGGGUUUUCACGAAUAAGAUUCACAAGAUAGGGGUCAAUUAUAGUAAAUGACCUUAGCAUGAGUCGGAUGACAUCAUGAUCCGUCCAUCUUGUGCUUCUGUAGCUUCGGAUCUUGUUGACCAGGGUCUUGAGCCUGUUGUAGGUCUGAGUUGGCUCCUCUCCCUUGAUCAUCGUGAACUUCCCCAGCUCGCCUUCCACUAGUUCCAUCUUUGUGAUCAUAGUGGCAUCAUUUCCCUCAUGUGAUAUCUUGAGGGUAUCCCAGAUUUGUUUGGCAUUGUCCAAGCCACUCACUUUAUUAUACUCGUCCCUGCAAAGAGAUGCUAACAACACAGUAGUAGCUUGGGCAUUUUUAUGGAUUUGCUCAUUAAUAAUCACAGGAUUAUCAGUGCUAUCAAAAUGCAUCCCAUUUUCUACAAUUUCACAUAUGCUAGGAUGAAGAGAGAAUAAAUGACUACACAUUUUAUGACUCCAAAACGAAUAGUCCUCUCCAUCAAAGUGUGGAGGUUUUCCAAGGGGGAUUGAAUGUAGAAGCACAUUUGAAUUAUAGGGAAUGCGAGAGUAAUCAAAAGAAUAAUUUUGAUUAACCAUCUUUUUCUUUGAUGAAGAGUCGUCGUCGUCGUUGUCGUCCCUUGGUGAAGAAGAUGAUGCAUCACUGUCGUAGUAGAUGAUCUUAUUGAUGCGUCUCUUCUUCUUCCCAUCCCUCUUCUUGUGACUCGAGCCUGAGUCAGUGGGCUUGUCGUCUCUUGGCUCAUUGAAGAGGGAUUCCUUCUCCUUAUCGUUGACCACCAUCCCUUACCCUUAGGAUCCAUCUCUUCAGGAGGUAGUCCCUUAGAUGAAGAGUAUGGCUUUGAUACCAAUUGAGAGCACCUAGAGCGGGGUGAAUAGGUGAUCCUGUAAAAUCAAACACUAAAUAGCCACAAGACUUAGUUUAUUAGAGAGUUAGUGCGACUAAGUAGCUUUGAAGCGAGUUCUUGUGAACACAACAAUCACAGAGAAAGCAACACAAGAGACACACUAUUUUUAUCCUGUGGUUCGGCCAAGUAACACUUGCCUACUUCCACGUUGUGGCGUCCCAAUGGACAAGGGUUGCACUCAACCCCUUUCAAAUGAUCCGAUGAUCAACUUGAAUACCACUGGCUUUUCCUUUAGAGUCUUUUCCCAUGUGCGAGGAAUCUCCACAGUUUGGAGUCUCUCGCCCUUACAAUGGAGAUCACAAAGAAAGCACAGAGUAAGGUUGGGGAGAGCAACACACGCAAGACUCAAAUCCGCAGCACACCCACGCACACAAGUCACGACUUGAGCUCGAAACACAACACACGGAGUUCGCAAAUCAAAUGGAGCUCAAAUCACUAACACAGAGAAUCAAAUGCGUGGAGUCGGAGUCUGGGAGUCUUAGAAUGUUUCUUGAAAGCUUGGUGUAAUGCUCCAUGCGCCUAGGGGUCCCUUUUAUAGCCCCAAGGCAGCUAGGAGCCGUUGGAGAUCAAUUUGGAAGGCCAAUCUUGCCUUCUGUCGAGUGGUGCACUGGACAAUUCGGUGCACCACCGGACAGGACCUAUAGCUGUCCGGUGCACGAUCUCCUUCCAUAUCGAGCACAUCCGACCGUUGCUCCUCCGGGCCCGUUGGCGCACCGGACACUGUCUGGUGCACACUGGACAGUCUGGUGCACCAACUGACCGUUGGAGGAGUCCAUGUGUCGCCUGCAGAUUGCGUGGCUGACCGUUGGCGCUGGCGACCGUUGGCUCACCGGACAGUCUCGUGCACCACCGGACAGUCUGGUGAAUUUUAGCCACGUCGCCUUUUCCAUUUCCUGAGAGCGGCGAGUUCAUCGUGGUUGACUCACCGGACAGUCCAGUGCACCACCGGACAGUCCGGUGAUUUAUAGCCGUACAACUCCGUCGAUUCCCGAGAGUAGCUGGUUCACCGUCGGCCAGCCUGGGGCACCGAACACUGUCUGGUGCACCACUGGACAGUCCGGUGUGCCAGGCUGAGCUGGAGUUAGCUGCACACAGCCAACUCUUUCCCAUUUCUUUUCUCCUUUUGUCACUAUUUCUAGCACUUAGACAAACACAUUAGUAUUAAAAAACAAUGUACUAAGCCUAGAAACAUACCUUGUAAUAUGAUUUGCAUUUAUCUUUAUUUAUCACAUAAGAACUUAAUCAAUCGUGUUGGGCAUUUAAACACCAAAACAUUAUAGAAAUGGCCCAAGGGUGCAUUUCCCUUUCAAUGGCGACAUUAGCCACCUCUUCUUCUUCCUUUGAGCUUGAACUCUCUUCGUCGAAGUUCCACUCUUCACCUAUGUGAGCUUGGCCAUACUUCUUCUUCUUGAAGUAUCCCUUGUUCUUGCCCCCCUUUUUGAACUUAUCCUUUUUGUAUUCCUUCUUGGCUUCUUGUUCCUUUUUGUUUGGACGAUCCGCUAUGAAAUGACCGGUUUGGCCACAUUCAUAACAUGCCCUCUUCUUUCCUUUUCUUUGAUACUUGUCAAUUUUUCCUCACAAACUUCUUGAAGGUUUUGAUGAACAUAGUUGUGUCUUCAUCACUUGAACUAUCUUCAUCACUUGAUGUUUCGACCACUUUCUUUGUCUUGUGAUCUUUGUUCUUCUUGGAGGAAUCUUGUUCAUUUGAGAUCAAGGCAUGAGUGUCUCUUGUCUUGAUUGGGGCUUCUUCAGACUCAUGUUGUUGAAUCUUUGCAAAUAGUUGGCGAGGUGUCAUUUCCUCAUAGUCAUCAGGGUCCCUUAUCAUUCUUGCUAGACUCUUAUCCUUUUCUUUGUAUGCUCUCAUAAAUAGUCUAGUGACCUUGGAGUCACUCCAAUCUUCACUUCCAAGCACUCUUAUUUUGUUGACCAACACCAUUAGCCGGUCAAAGAGUGAUUGAAGUGACUCACCCUUAGUCCAAUCAUAUCGUGCAAGCUCACUCUCCAAAGCUUCAAUUCUAUAUCUCUUAGCUUUGGGGUCUCCUUCAUGUGACAUUUUGAGAAUGUUCCAAAUGUCACGAGCAACCUCUCUUCCUUGGACUUUCCGGUACUCUUCCGGACAAAGGCUUCCUUUUAUUAUGCUCACCGCUUGAGCAUUGCGGUGAACUUCUUGCAUCAUUUUCGGAGUCAUCUCUUCUCCUUGGGCGGGCUUAUACAUACCUAUAUUGACAAUCUUCCAAAGACUAGGAUGUACACCGAUUAGAUGCGACUUCAUCUUAUCGGCCCACUCGUCAUAGUUCAACUCACUAAGAGUUGGUAACUUUCCAAGUGGGGCGGAAGAGAAGUUGGGAAUAAAAUUUCUAGAAUAAUCAAAUUGAACUUUAUUAAACUUGUUACCUUUACUUUUGGUGGAUGAUCCUUCGGGGGUGAGACUUACCUUGCUCAUCACCCUUGACACCAAAAGUUCUACCAAAUCAUCAUUGUAUUUGAUUUUUCCCUUUCCUUUGUCUUCUUCAACCUUUCUUCUUGAUUCUUCUUCUUCGGCCCUUUUCUUAGCAUCUUCCUCUUUCAUUUUGAGAAACAUCUUCUCGGCUAUCUUCAUGGCAAGGUCGAGGACCUUGGGGUCUAUUUCCUCACCGGAAGAUGUGACGGGGAUUUCCUCGAGAAGAGGAUCCACAUGGUCCCUUUGAGUAGACAUGAUCGUUUCCUCACGCGGUUAAGCGUAAAACGAGGUACGAAGCUUUGAUACCAAUUGAAAGUAGCCUAGAGGGGUGAAUAGGCUACACCUGAAUUUUUUCACUAAAAACUUCGAGAUAAUGUUAAAUUCAAGUUGCAUUGGUGCAAACUGGUUCAGCUGAUUUUGUUUACAGCUGAACAAGUUUGAACCUACUCAACUUAGAUUAGAUAAACAGUUAAACAAGUGUGACAAAGUAAUGAGAAAUUUUGCUUAAGACUUGCCCUAGAGAAAAUCCACUCGAAUAGGUGACAAAUCGGUGUGAAUUGGUUUCACACGAUUUGCACACAAUAUAAUCGAAUAUGAACUAACCAACAAUUUAAAGCACUUAUCAAGAACACACAAGAACACACAAUUUAACCUGAGGUUCGGCAACCACCACAAAGGUGUCCUACUCCUCAUUGAGGAGCCCACAAAGGGUCGAGUCUUUUCCAACCCUAAUCCUCCACAAGCCGACCACCAAGGUCAAGGCAAUCUCUUCUCAAAUUAGCUCAACGAGCAGGUGAUACAAACUUCUUGGGGGUCAUCCACAAAUUUGGAGACUCCCAAGCAACCUCUAUCCGUCAAGGAACACAAGGUUCCAAGAGUAACAAAUCCGCACAAGAUUCAAGUUUGCAAUGAGCUCAAGAGAUGAAGAGAAUGGGAGAAUCGAGAUGAAAUCAACAGCGAGUUAGAUCGACUUCACCACACACCAAGGGUCCUUCAAACAAUUGAAGGAGAUGUGAUUUCGGGUGUGAGAGGUGAAUUGAAUGUUCUUGUUUGAAGGUUGGUCAGCCAAGAAUUCGUGGAGAGGGCUGAAGUGAAUGAAGAGAGAGAGUGUGAGGGGUAUAUAAAGGAUCCCCCAAAAGCUAGCAGUCGUUGGGAAAAGUUGAUUGAAAACCGGUUGAACCGGUUCUUAAUCCGGUUGAACCGAUUUCCACCAAGGAGUUUUCGGUUCACUAAGCGACUGAGUCGGAGACUCGACCGGCCCCAAAUUCGGUUGAGCCGGGCUAAAAUUCGGUUGAACCGGUUUUCAAAAAGUCUGCACAUGACUUUUUUUGACAGGAUUGACUGGUAGACUGGCAGGUCAGAAAGUGACAGAGGGAACAGUGCAAAAACCGGUUGAACCGGUUUUAGGUCCGGUUGAACCGAUUUUUGAAACUGAUGAACAGAUUUUGAGAAAACUGAGGUGAACCAAGGGGAAAUCUUAGUGGGGAGUGAAAGUGGUUUUUCCAAGAGCAUUAAUGAUCUUGUAAAAUAUUUUCUUAGAGGUUUUAAAAAAGGUUUGGACUAAGCUCAUCGCAUUUACUUGCUUAACCAUUGCAGAUCCCUCUUAAUUGAACGGCGAUUCCUAUGACUCAAGAAUUGUAAAAUGUAAAUUGUCGUUGUUCCCAAGCACUUGGAGCACGCUAUAUGAUGUAGAAUUUUAAUCUGUUGUGCUUUUACAUUUGCGUACGUAUAUGAUCUGUGCUUCUCCUAUCUGUAGAAUAACUGUAUACAUGCUAGGAGCAUACUUGUUAGAAUCUCUGUUUGUUUUGUCAUUUAAUCACCAAAACCCUCAGUUAAGGUUGAUUGCACUUAUAAUUAACCAAGCAGGCAUGGUUCAUAACUAGAGAAGAUGUGUGCUAUGAUUGCAGGGUUCAGUUCUUUGUGAUCGAAACUAGCUUGUGUGUGUUGAUUCUCUACCAAAUUGAAAGUUAUAUUCACCUAAUGGAAGACCAAGAACCCAAUUCCCAUCAAGUCAGAUCAUGUGUGUAAUUGAAAGUUAUCUUGGGUAACCCCAUUCCCAUCACCUUGUACAACUCUAACCUGAGAUCUAAAAGAAACUAAUGAUAACUUAGCUUGACUUAAUUAAACUAAUAUUCUAGCACUUCAGAAAAGCAAAUACUUUGCACUUAUUGAUGUGGGUGGAUAGGUUAAGAAAAGCAAAGUUGGUAUCACACUACCAAAAGCUAUACAAAAACACUUAUCCAAGUGUGGUGGAUUACAUCUACUUGAUAGGGUUGUCAUCCCUAGUGGGACUACCACAACUAUUUAUGACAUAUAAAGCAAAACCAUCUAAGCUUUAUCCAUAAUGGAUGUUCUUUUAACAACACACAUGACAUUACCUUUAAAUUACUUGAGAGCAAUGGUAUGCAAAUCCUUUGCAUGUACGCAAAACUAGCUAGUUGUCACAAGUUGUAUAUCGAUUCGUCGCGUUUCAACAACUCAUGCAACAUUACAAACAAGUAACACAAUAUUACAAAGUUAGUUUCAUACAAAGCAAGAAAAGGACAAUAAUACUUGACAUGUAAAGUGAAGCUUAUUAUACUUCCUAAUCCAACACAAAACAAAAAAAAGUUGCACAAAGGUCCAAAAAUCCACAUCAACCAUUAACCUAUACGUAAAGUGAGUGAUGAGUCACAUUAUCCAACAAAUGUUUAUCAAUGUGGUAUCAUACAAGCAUUGACAUCCCAUAAAUGCAAGAAAUUGUGCCAACAAAGCUAUAAGUAACCCUCAUAUGUAUUUGCACUCAUGCAUCACAAAACAUCCUUCUAUCAGUACCAUCAAUCAUCAUUCAUCUUAGUAGUAUAGGCACCAAAUCAAAUCUGCAACAUCAAUUAUCUAACUCCAAAAACCAUGAAGCUGGUGCUUGUGGUUCUUGCUUUCAUUGCUUUAGUAUCAAGUGUUUCUUGUACACAGACAGGCGGCUGCAGCUGUGGUCAACAACAAAGCCAUGAGCAGCAACAUCAUCCACAACAACAUCAUCCACAAAAACAACAACAUCAACCACCACCACAACAUCACCAGCAGCAGCAACACCAACAACAACAAGUUCACAUGCAACCACAAAAACAUCAGCAACAACAAGAAGUUCAUGUUCAACAACAACAACAACAACCGCAGCACCAACAACAACAACAACAACAACAGCACCAACAACAACAUCAAUGUGAAGGCCAACAACAACAUCACCAACAAUCACAAGGCCAUGUGCAACAACACGAACAGAGCCAUGAGCAACACCAAGGACAGAGCCAUGAGCAACAACAUCAACAACAAUUCCAGGGUCAUGACAAGCAGCAACAACCACAACAGCCUCAGCAAUAUCAGCAGGGCCAGGAAAAAUCACAACAGCAACAAUGUCAUUGCCAGGAGCAGCAACAGACUACAAGGUGCAGCUAUAACUACUAUAGCAGUAGCUCAAAUCUAAAAAAUUGUCAUGAAUUCCUAAGGCAGCAGUGCAGCCCUUUGGUAAUGCCUUUUCUCCAAUCACGUUUGAUACAACCAAGUAGCUGCCAGGUAUUGCAGCAACAAUGUUGUCAUGAUCUUAGGCAGAUUGAGCCACAAUACAUUCACCAAGCAAUCUACAACAUGGUUCAAUCCAUAAUCCAGGAGGAGCAACAACAACAACCAUGUGAGUUAUGUGGAUCUCAACAAGCUACUCAAAGUGCGGUGGCAAUCUUGACAGCAGCACAAUACCUACCAUCAAUGUGCGGCUUGUACCACUCAUACUACCAAAAUAAUCCAUGCAGCAGCAAUGACAUUAGUGGUGUUUGCAAUUGAAGAAUUGUGUCUACCUAGCCGUUAUACUCAUAUAACGGUGUUAAGCAAUAAAGUACCAUACAUUAUGAUGUUUGUACUAUGAUAUUUGAAUAAGAAUACUAAUUGUAAUUAUAAUGCUACUAAACCCUUGUGUGAACUAAAACUAGCAUGUCUUGUUCAUCCUACCCACAUUUUGGUUAGGGAUGAGGAGGGGAUUGUUAUUAUCCCAUGGUUAAUCACAAUUACACAAACAUAUGGCUACACUCAAAACUUAGGUAUGAGGAGGGGAUUGUUAUUAUCACAUUGUUAUUAUCCCAAUCAGCACAUUAAAUACACAAGAGCUACACUCUCACCCCCAUUCUCACACUUGUAGGUGAGAGAUACUUAAUGCCUUGUGUUCUUGAGUCUUGCAAGUUCUUGUGCUUCUAUUUUGGGUUUUCAAGCUCACUCUCACCCCCAUUCUCACACUUGUAAAGUGUAACACCCAAAAUUCGAUUAUGAGAUUUAUAAACGUUUUCCCCGAAAUAUUAAGUUAAAUGGCUUUUAAUAAUAGAUUCCUUUAUCUAUGAAGUGUGUUUUCCUAAAGUAAAUAAAAUGUAAUGUUAAAAGUUUUGUAGUUCAAAACUUAGAUCCAAAACUUAAAACUAAAAAGUUGGAACAAUAAUUAAAAGAAAGACUUUCAAUCCAAUUAUUAUUUCCUUCAUUGUUGUAUAAUUAAAGCACUCUUUCUAGAACAUUUGAACCAAUAUGAAGAUUACAUACUAACUUCUCCUAAAGAAAAGAAGUAAUGAAUACUGAUUUUUUGGAAUAUACUUUUAAUUAGAAUAUGAAUUCAAAAGAUUGAUCCUAUUGAAAUAUGUGUGUAAGUGGAUUUUGGUUGAAAUAAUUAGAUAAAUAAGUAAUUAAUAUAAAUAUAAUAAAAUCUUUGCAUUAACAUGCUGGAUAUUUAUUUGUUUGUUGCACGAGGUUUUGUAAGUCAAAACUAGAAUUUUAUUGGAAUAAAAUUUGAAACAUUAUAAAAAAUAAAUGAAAAUAAGAAAUAGAAAAUAAAUAAAUAAAAGGGACAUGGGAGCUUACCUGAACCUAGGCCGGAACCGUGGCCCACUCACAUUAUCUCGCAGCCAGCCUAGUCUUCACCGCGCCUUGCUAUCAUUGGCACUCGGUCCCCGCAUGCUAGCCUCCUUGUCCGUGCGCUGGCUUGCUCGGUCACCGUCGUGUGGGGCCCACAUGACAGAUUUUUUCCCUAGACCAUAGCCACCGUGUUUUGUUGCAUUGCAAUAGAUUGCGCAAAAGACGACUGAGACAUCUCGCCAAUCGAGCGCAUGUGGGACGAAUCCCUCUGCCCCUUCCACCCGGUUCUAGGUGUAUAUAUAGGAAGCACUAGACGUCGGUCCUCAGGAUUACACCGCAACCAGAGCCACCACGUCGAAUGAGCAAAAGACGAGAAGGGGAAGAGAACCAAUGGCACUGGUGACAUCAAGCUUCACCCCCACCUAGAGCCCAUGUGGUGGUCAGAAGGGUUCACCGAAUCACGCCUCUCGUGCGCUGGGUCUGCACAUACACGGACACCAAUUGGAGUGCGCAUAAUUCCUCGCCAACGACAUGGUGAUGCCACGGAUCCGCCUUGCUCGUGGGCGAGCCUCUUCACUGCUCAGAGCAUCCUAAGUACCUUUCUAUAGUAUUCGCCAUGGCCUUCUCAUCGUAAAAGCAUCAAGGAUAUUGACGUUAGGACAAGGUAGAAGCCAAUCGGGUCUCUCCGGCGACGGCUCCACCGUGGAGGCGCUGCUCUACCGUAAUAGGUCGCUGGAAGGGAGAAGAAGGCACGUCUGUCGUUGAUCGGUGGCGUAAUGGUUACAAUUAGAUCAGGGGUGUACCCCUUCGUGGAUCCGAUCUGAGCCAUAGAUCGGUUAUCCGAGGGCUGACACAUGUGGGAGGCGUCGUCACGUGAGGACUUUGGAUCCUAGAUCCAAUGGCUAGUGUAGUAUACUGAUUCGCUUUAAUGAUUGAUCUAAUCUGGACCACCGAAACAAGAUCAGACAUCUCAGCUUUAUCUUUACCCCUUCACGCGCGAUAGUUUGCAAAAGAAACCCUGAAGAUUAUUGAAAUCAACUCGCAGUCCAUGGUCUGUGUAAAAUAAAUACAUCAAGGUCCCUCGUAUUUGCAAUUUAGCCCUGGAAUCUAUGUUAAGUGCAAAAAUAAAUAUUAAAAUGACCUAAAACUUAUUUAACACAUAACUUUCGUAUAUUAACUCUGUUUUAAUCCAUUCAAGUUGUGUUAGGUUCGUAAUAAUAUUGCAUAUGCAGUAACACUAUUAGUUGUAACAUAUCACAUACUUUUAUUGGAAAUUUAUUUAACCUAUAAUUAGUAGAUUAAUCUUGCUAAUCAAAGAUAAAUCUGUCCAUAAUUAUGAACUCACUAAAAUAUAAUCUAUAAUCAGGUUAUAACUUAGAAUAAAAUGAAUUAGUUAUCAUAUGAAGUGUAUUAAUUAUCAUAGAAUAUAUUUUACUAUUUGAUUACCUAAACCUUUAGAUAACCAUAUCUUUUUUACCAUAACUCUGAUUUUAGUGGUUCUCGAACCUACGAUCUCGUAGCGACGCGUAGAAUAUUCUUAUGUAGUUUGUUCUCAUGUUUGGUGUAAUAUUAUUUUACCUAUUCAUUGUCUAUCUAUAUGUAAUGCUACGAGUAGAAGCGAGGUCACGUGGAAUCUAAAGACCAAAUUGGAGAAGUACCCGGAGUUGCACCAAAAUAGCAAGUUGUGCCCUUGACCACUCUUUACCUAAUAAUGUUCCUGUUAAUCACUCUGACAUACUUAAGUUAAUUUUAUGGGACCUAAUAGGUUAUCCUAGUUUGUUUACCUUACCCCUUGCAAAAAAUGAACUAUUGGGUAGUCUUGUUAUUUCUCUACCUAGUUUUGAGAUUAAUUUUAUUAUGAUCAUGUUCCAUUAUUAUUAUGGUUUAAUUAUUGUUCAUGGUAAGAUUAUUGUGUUAAUUUGAACAUAGAGAACCACCCGGGAAAAUAGUGCUACCACAAGAGUAGUAUGGAACGUCCUUGGCUGACUAAUUAGGAAAGCUAGUGGUGGACUACCUUACCCGAAAUGGGCAAGGGCAGUAGAGGAGCUGCCGGUAUAUGGAGGUUCUCGGGUCGAUCAUGCUGCGAUGAGUUUAGGAAUGAGGGAUUCCUAUAUCGCCCUUCUCAAACACCGUAGCGGGUUUUCUGAAGCUAGUAGAACUUUGUAAAGGCCUCGUAGUGCUACCCUGCCUCGUCUCCUAAGAAGAGAUGUAUGGGAUUUAUGACCCUAUGGCAAAUGGGUAACACGACUUGUGGGUAAAGAUGUGCAACCUCUCUAUAGUGUAAAUCUGGUAUAUCAGUCGUGCUCACGGUCAAGAGCGGCUCGAACAUUCACAUGAGUAACUUAUGAAAUUUAACUUAAUAUGUCAUUUGCAUUGCAUUGUGGGAUUUAUUAUUAAUUGUGAUCUCUUAUUUAACUAGGAUGGUAUCUACUUAUACUUAGUAACUGCUAAUAAAACUUUGAACAACUUAUUAAAAGCAAUGUUCAGCCUUAACCAUCUUCUUUGGUAAACCUUAAACUUCAUAAGAGCCCCCACCGUAAGUGAGCUCAUGCACAUUAUUCCCCACAACUUGUUGAGCGAUGAACAUAUGUGAGCUCACCCUUGUUGUACUCACACCCCCAGGUCAAGGACAAGUACCGCAAGAUAAGGAGAAAGAAGGAUGUCGCUAUGAGUUUGUGAGAGGUCUAGGCCGUCGUCUCCCAGUCAACUAUGGUUGCGGAGGAUCGUUGUCCUCAUAUGAUGUAAUUAUUUAGUUAUUUUGUACAGAAAUCCUAUUAAGUAAUAAAGAUGUGACAUUGAUUUUUGUAUAAUGAGUCAUCAUAUAUGUGAGACUUGAUCAUAGCACACAUUUGAUUCGCGCCUGGGUUUGCCCUUAAAUCCGGGUGUGAUAGAAAUGGUAUCAAAGCCAUGUUGACUGUAGGACGUAACUUCGAUAGACCUGAUCAAACCAUUACCUACUUACCUUUGCUACUUUGAUUCUUUCUAAACUUCCCUUAAUCUCUUCUCAUCUAUUGUUGCUUUACUCUGAUUACUUUUACCUUUUCUUUCUUGAAACCAAAAGAGGAUUUCACACCUUGGAAUCCGGUACCUAAAGUGAGCCUUAGGAAUAGGACACCUAAUCCUAGAAAAAACUAUUUUUAUAGGUACAUUUGCACUUGAAUGGUUGUUCCUAUGAUACCUGUCUGAUUUGGUUCUUUGAUUGAGUGUGAUGAGUUGUGGAGUAAUGUCCGCAAUUGCAUCUGCAUAUAUAAUUAGGCAUAAAGAUAUGUUUUCAAGAUAACUAAUCAACUUAGAUUAUUCCCCAUUAAAACAUAUCUAGCUUAGUAGAUCCAUUUUAUCUUAAAAUACUUUAUCUCAUCCUUUCAUCUUAUCCUAACAACUUUGUUACCCCAUCCUAGAAUGACAACCAUGAUCUAAUCCAAAUUAAUUGGAUCUUAUCCAGUCUAAAUCUAGUCAUACCAAUCUAAUCCAGAUCCCAUCUAAUCUAUUAUGAUCUAAUCUAAUGUUAAUUACUUAAAACAUGUUAGUUAAUACUGAUGAAAUAGAUUAGACCCUACUCCUAUAAACAUGUUUUAACCUAAAUUGGUGCCUUAAACCAACUUGGCCAUGAACAACAACCCAACCUACCUGAUGGAUUGCCUAAAUUCACCUAUCUCAACCUAAAAGUAAAAAAGUAGAACAUGUUUUACCUACCCACCUCAGGUACCCUAGCUAUCUUAACUAUAUGUCCCAAAAACCACCAAGACUGAAGAUCCCUAGCUCGAAUGGAAGCACCAAGACUAGAGAAAAGAAGAAAUCAACAUCGUCAAGGAAGGAUAAGCACCAACUCAAGUCUUCGAAGGAGUCAAACACAUCCCCAAACGAGUUAGAAAGCACCAUCUGUAAUGGAAACUUUACAUGCUCUUACCUCUUCUCUUACACCAAACCUUCUCUACUUCUAUCUAAUAACUAAAAAGUAAUGUACCCAUGCUUUCCUAGUUCCCUUCUUACUAAUUGUUAAGAACUCAAACAAUAAAAUGAUGACAAUAGAAAGCUUUCGAGUUUUAAAUCAAUUAAAAGCUAAUUACAAAACAAAACUUACUACAUCACUUUGCUUACUAAUCUCGAGGACUCGAUUAUUUUUAAGGGGGUAGGAUUUGUAACACUCAAAAUUCUAUUAUGAGAUUUAUAAACGUUUUCCCCGAAAGAUUAAGUUAAAAUGGCUUUUAAUAAUAGAUUCAUUUCUUUAUGAAGUGUAUUUUCCUAAAGUAAAUAAAUAGUAAUGUUGAAACUUUGGUAGUUCAAAACUUAGAUCCAAAACUUAAAACUAAAAAGUUGGAACAAUAAUUAAAAGAAAGAUUUUCAGUCUAUAUAUUAUUUCCUUCAUUGCAUAAUUAAAGCACUCUUUUUAGAUCAUUCGAACCAAGAUGAAGAUUGCAUACUAACUUCUCCUAAAGAAAAGAAGUAAUGAAUAUUGAAUUUUGUUUGGAAUAUACUUUUAAUUAGAAUAUGAAUUCAAAAGAGUUAUCCGAUUAAAAUAUGUGUAAGUGGAUUUUGGUUGAAACAAUUAGAUAAGUAAUUAAUAUAAAUACAAUAAAACCUUUGCAUUAACAUGCUGGAUAUUUAUUUGUUUGUUGCAUGAGGUUUGGUGAGUCCAAACGAGAAUUUUAUUGGAAUCAAAUUUGAAACACUAGAAAAUAAAUAAAAAUAAGAAAUAGAAAAAAAAUAAAUGAAAAGGGACAUGGGAGCUUACCUGAACGUGGGCUGGAACCGCAGCCCAUUCACAUUAUCCUGCAGCCAACCUAGUAUUCACCUCGCCUUGCUGUCGCUGGCACUCCGCACUCGGGCCUCGCAUGCUAGCCUCCUCACGUCUGUGUGUUGCCGUGCUCGUUCACCACCGUGUGAGGCCCACGUGCUUCCAAAAAGGCAAGUUGUGUGUGAUCACUUUUCUUUAUCUAUUAAUGUUCUUAUUAAUCAUUGUGACAUGCUCAGAUUAAUUUGAUGAGACCUAAUAGGUUAACCUAGUUUUUUUACCCUAUCCCUUGCAAACAAAUGAACUAUUAGGUAGUAUUGAUAUUGCUCUACCUGGUUUUGGGGUUUAAUAUUAUUAUGAUCAUAUUCCAUUAUUGUUGUAGCUUAAUUAUUGUUCAUGAUAAGAUUAUUGUGUGAAAGGGAAAUUGGGUUAACCAUUUCCUAUAAUUAAUUUUAGUGGUUGAUGAUCAACACAAACACAUGGACUAACUAGUUUGUCUAGAUAUUAUUCAUCUCAGGUGCAUAAGGUUCAACAAAGACCAAUAAAGAAAUUCGGUUAGGGACACGAUCAAAAAAGGAGCAAAGAACUACAGUGUGCUGAAAAAUGCAUACCAGACAGUGUCCGGUGUGCACCGGACCGCGUCUGGUGCACCAGGCCGUACAGUGAUGAACCAGCCACUCUCGGGAAUUCCAGGGCGCGCUCCGCUAUAAAUCACCGGACUGUCCGGUGAGCCAGUGGAGCAACGGCUCUCUGUGCCAACGGUCGACUCUGCGCAGAUGAACAGUACGCUACAGUACCUCCACAGAAGUCAGAGCAGCAAAGUCAGAGAGCACCGGACUGUCCGGUGUAGCUAGAUGACAAGGCGCUCCAACGGUCAACCGCUCCGAACCCUAACGGAUACGCUGACGUGGCGUGCACCGGACAGUGCACAGUGCGUGUCCGGUGGCGCACCGGACUGUCCGGUGCGCCCAUCACCAGCAGCCUUCACCAACGGCUAUGGAAGUGGUUGGGGCUAUAAAUACCCCCAACCACCUCAUUCAUAACCAUCCAAACAUUCCAAACAUCUCAUUCAUUGCAAGAGCAAAAGACUUCACACCUAGUGUCGGUGUUUUGGGUCCGACCGCACACCCGGGGUUGCCCCUCAAGGUGUUUUUAGGAGUAGGACGGUGUCAACAAUUGUAGCAAAAUGGUUCGUGCCGAUUGCACGAGGAACAGUGGACAAGGUUUAUAGGUUCGGGCCGCUUAGAGAUGCGUAACACCCUACGUCCUGGUGAGUAUGCUUGGUGAAUGUGGUUACAAGAGAGCUCUCUGGAUUGAGAAUACAGAGAGUUGACGUGGGUGGCUAAGUAAUAGGGUCGAUCGUUCUGAAGGGGUGCCCCUAGGCCUUAUAUACUCGACCGUGGGGCAAUACAUGUGGAUAUGAUAACAACGAGUAGCUAGAAGAUAGUGAACUGCUUGAGUUUAUCUCCAUGUAAUCCUGCCGACUUAUCCUCGCAUGGCUCCGUUGCAUGGGGGCUCCAGCGCGGGAGAGUCGGACCUCUGUUGUGGUCACUCGCUCGACGUUGUGGGUCGUCCGGGUUUGCACCAAUCCGGCCUCAUGUCGAUCUGCUCUGCUGGUUGUCUCUCCCCAGGCCCACGAAAGAAUGACCUUACGAUUUAUUGGGCCCUUGGGCCUUUCGUGAGGUCUUUUACUCUUUUAGUGGACCCGGGGGAUAUCUAUCCCCCACAAGCCCCCGAUCUUUGGGUUAAUUUAGAGGUAAUCAGCCCAAAGAUCCCAGGUCUAGCUUGUAGGUGAUUUGAAGAAAAUGACUUCCUGUCGUCUUCUCCGGCUUUGAUCACUCGUUGACCGAAGCUUAGUUUCAUGCUUGUGCCUUAGAGGUCGGCAUUUCAAUUUGCUGGAUUCUGAACUUCAUUGGGUGCACCGGAGGUGCACCCAAUGGGUGUAGCCCCCGAGCUUCGAGUAGAUUUUAGAAAAUAAUCUGCUCGAAGGUCUUCCCCAGAAAUUAUCUCCAUUUGUGCUCCUGCAUUUUGGUUGAGGGUUGGCCUUUUAAUCUUGUCCCACGCCUUAGAAGUCGGCGCUAUCUUGGCUUGGAAUGAUAAUCCAUGGGGUGCACCGGAGGUGCACCCAAUGGGUGUAGCCCCUGACCUUCAAAUGGAUUUUUGAGGAUAAUCCAUUCGAAGGUCUUCCUUUCGUGUCUCCUUGCUGAAAAUUAUCCUUUCUGUUUGUAGAAAUUGGCAUGAAGCUAUUCGCAUUAUGCUUUGGAGGUCAGCAUUAUGUCACCAAUAUUUUGCUUCAGAGGUCAGCAUAUAUUUUGUCUUUAGCAGCCGAGUUUGCAAUCCAUCCAUAUCUUGCUAGGUAGUGCAAUUUAUUUGCUCUGCGACUGAUUGGACGUUUGAUGGACGUUCUCUGUCUAGUCUUCACGUCGCUUCUGUCGGCCAUAUUUUGUACUUCACUGGCUAUAUUUGGCUUUCCUCUGAUCCUUACUGAUAUCUCAUUUUUGUCUUGAGGUAUUCACUGCGCGCCCUGCACAGAUGUGACCGUUUUAAAAAAUAUACUAAUAAUUCCUGGGCGUCCCCCCCCAAUGGGUGUGGGCAAGGGACGGCUUGGUACGCUGAGUGUUUUAGCCGGCUGCUUCUGAGUAGUAAUGUGAUGUGACGGCGAGUGUAAUCAUAUCCUCCUCGCUGUUGACUGGAGUCCCAAUGGGUGUUGUGUUGCGUGAAACGGCGUCAGCCGCCUGACGUGUCUUCAGACGGGUUGAAGUGCUUAUUGAAUGCUUUGCGACUGUUUAGUGACCGCGGUUGGAGGUGAGCGGUUGCCUUCUCCUUAUAUAAAUAACGUCGUUGUCCCUUUGGCUUUUCCACAUCCUUCGCCGUUCUCUGCUGCUUCCCUCUCUUCUUUCCCUUCUGCUUCCACCAUGGGCAAGAACAACAAGCGCAAGCGUGAGCCAACUCCUCCGUCGGAGGAGUUUGGUGACUCGGAGUACUCAGAGGAGGAGUUCUCCUCUGAGUCUGAGGGGUCUCCGGCUCCCGUCCCCCUGCGUGAGUCGUCUGACGACUCAGACGACUCCCAGGGGCUUGCGGCGGAGGUCUGGACGUACAUCCGGGCCGUCGAGCGCUCCGGGCUCGAGGGCUCGGAUGAGUCGGAGUACUCCUCGGAUGAGGAGGACUCGGACGGCGAUGGCGAGGACGAGGACGACGACGACGACGACGACGACGAUGACGAUGGCGACGGUGACGGUGACGGCAGCGGCAGUGGCAGGGGCAGCGGCGGCGGCAGCAAGGACGGUGACGGCGGCGGCAGCAGGGGCAGCAAUCGGGGCGGCAGCAGCAGGGGCAGCACCAAGGGCGGCGGCGGCGGCGGCAGCAACAGGGCCAGUGGCUAGAUGCCACUGGUCUUUUAGAUAUUAGUAUAGUAUAGUUAGACUAAUGUAGUAGUAAUGUAGAGUAGUAUAGCGUAGUGUAGUAGUAGUAGUAAUGUAAUGUAGUAAUAGUAGGGAAGUAUCAACUCGUAAAGAGUUGAUUUGUAAGUUUGUUAUCUUCCCUUUUAAUGAAAGAAUGAUGUCGGCUUCUCCUUGAUAACUCGUCUUGCUUGUUUGUAAAACUGAUUCCUUUGAGACAGUAGAUGAAUAACUUGGGGAUCAAACUGAUGCUUCCAGAAAUAGCUGCCGAGUAACUUGUAGACGGUGUCGGCGUUUUAGAGGUAACACCGAGCAACUGAAGACUGUAUCAGUGUUUUAGAAGCAACGCCGAGUGAUUGGAAAGCGACGUCGGCAUUUUAGAGGUAAUGCCGAGCGACUUGAGAUGAUGCCAGAGGGCGACGUCAGCGUUUUAGAGGUAAUACCGAGUGACUGAAAGGCGAUGUCGGCGUUUUAGAGGCAACGCCGAGCGACUGAACACUAUAUCAGCGUUUUAGAGGCAACGCCGAGUGAUUGGAAAGCGGCGUCAGCAUUUUUAGAGGUAGUGCCGAGCGACUGAACGCGAUAUCAGCGUUUUAGGGGUAACGCCGACUGACUGGAAGGUGACGUCGGCAUUUUUAGGGGUAAUGCCGAGCGAUUGAACACGAAAUCGGCGUUUUGGAGGCAACGCCGACCGACUGGAAGGCGACGCUGGCAUUUUUAGAGGUAAUGCCGAGCGACUGAACACGAAAUCGGCGUUUUGGAGGCAACGUCGACCGACUGGAAGGCGACGUCGGCAUUUUAGAGGUAAUGCCGAGCGACUGAACACGAAAUCGGCGUUUUGGAGGCAACGCCGACCGACUGGAAGGCGACGUCGGCAUUUUAGAGGUAAUGCCGAGCGACUGAACACGAAAUCGGCGUUUUGGAGGCAACGCCGAGUGAUAGCAGGCCGCGCGAGCCACUUUGAGGACGAUGGCCGAGUGAUGAGGUGGCGCACCGGUGUUCUGGAGAUAACUGCCGGGUUUCCACGUGGCAUGCUGGGGUUUUGGAAAUAACCGCCGGGUGAUGACUAGGCACUUUUUGAAACGGUAUCUGGCUCGAGAAUAUCCCAUAAGAGCUGCGCUUUUAGCCGCCUUUGCUUUCCGUGCCCUAGUUCUUGCUUUCCCGCUCCCGAAUCCUCUCUGCCAUUCGCCUCCCACUCUGCUCGCUGGUAGAAUCGAGAUGGCACCCAAGAGGAAGACCGCGAGCUCGUCCGCUGUGGUGAUUCCUCCAAUCGACCCCAACAGCCAGUUGCCUUUCGCAGGUAACCACAUGUCCAUCAUUUCUGAAACUGAACUUCUCCACCUCGUAUCUAUCGGGGUUCUUCCUCCGCGAGAACUCUGUUCUUGGCGGAUUUGCCAUGGGUUUACUGUUCCGACAGAGGAUACCCAUGAGUCCGUUGUUUACGCCCCUUUCCUUCUCCGCGGCCUUGGCCUUCCCAUCUCUCCCUUUUUCUGCGGCCUCCUUGAUUUCUACCAUAUUAACUUGACCCAUUUGAACCCCAAUUCAAUUCUGCAAAUCUCCAUUUUCGUUCAUUUAUGCGAGGCCUUUCUUGGCGUGCUGCCACAUUUCGGUUUAUGGAAAUACUUGUAUCAUUGUCGCCCUGGGAUGGCCGGGGGACAACAUCAGUUGGUCGGGGGUGCCAGCUUGGAGAUGCGCCGCGGGAGGAAAACUGAAUAUCUCGAGAUCCCCCUCAAGGACAGUAUUAAGGGAUGGCGCCUGGAGUGGUUCAUAGUUGAGAAUUAUGGGAAUUCUCUCCCCUCCCGGUCGGGAAGACAGCCGGACGUUCGCACCCCAAGCUGGACCGAGUCUCCCACAGAUCAGGAGGUAGCUGAGGCAGGUGUGUUGCUAGCUGAAGUUGGACUGCUGAAAGAGAGGGGUCUGACUGCUGAAGCUAUGGUUACUGACUUUGUUUUCAAGAAUAUUCAGCCACUGAAAGACAGGGCCUAUCCAGCUUAUCUGUAUCGAGGGCUAGCCGACUCAACUCGGGUUACCAACAGGAGAAUUCCUUCUGCAGACUUGGUGAGCCGACUUGAAAUGAUCCUCAGGGGCAAGGUGUCAAAUGUUGGUGCUCCAGUGGCAUACUCGGCCUGGAACUUGCCUCCUCCCAAAGCCUUCACCCUUUUCGUGUCGAAUCCACCCAUUACUGAUGGCAGUUUGGGCCUUAGAGUGCGACCCUCUGCUGAAGAAGUCAGUGCUUUGGUUGCCUCGCUUGGGGAGAUUCCUGAUGACGAACGGCAGGUUCAUUUUGAGGUGCCCCUGAACCCUAGUGAUGCAGAGAUAAGCGCUAUGCUUGAUUUGCUAGCUGAGGAUUCAUCCGAUGCUGCUCCUGCUUAGACGUUGGUAGUGGCGCCCCUCCCAGAGGCUGAUACGACUUUGGAUGUUCAGAAGCCUGUCAGUGCUCGCCCGAGGCGCCCUUGCCGAACCAAUCAGCCUGAUCCUUCUGUUGAUGAGCAGAAGAAGAAAAGAAGACGCCUCCGGCGAGUGUCCAGUUUUGGUCAGGACGCUGGUACCUCAGUUCCUGCUAUUGCAGAAGUGCCUGCGACUGGAUUUACUGACGCUGACCCCAAUGGGUGUACCCAAUCCGCUGUUGAUCCCAUAGUGGGUGCCCCAUCUGUUGCUGAUCCCAAUGGGGGUGCUGCUUGUGUUGCCAAUGUGGAUGAUGAGGAAGAGGAAAAUGAGAUUCCUUUGACUUGGAAAAACAGUCGGCAGUUCAUCGCCAGUGGUGAAAGUAGUGGAGUUCCCUCUCCUGCUUUGUCUGCCCUCAUUGGUCUGCAAGAACUGUCCCUGGCCAACUUUGAUCAGACUCUGGAGGAUAUGGUCCCAGAGGACUUGUUAUCGGAGCCAGUGGAUGAUGGUGCAAUGGAGGCUUGCGCUGACGUGCCCGAUGCUGGUUUGAGGUCAUCUCGUGCCUCGUCGACCUUAGAGCGCGAUCUCGAGGGUCGGGAGACUGACUUGGAUCGUCCUGGUCCUAUGGAAGUAGCUGAGGGCCCGUCAACCUUAGAGGUGGUUACUGCAAAGAGCUUGGACCUCAAGAAUGGUGCUGACACAUGCCUAGUCCCCGAGGGUGUCGCCGGGGAUGACUUAGCUCGGGUGAAGAGUGUAAGCCACUGCCCAGCCCCCGAGGGUGCUGCCGGGGAUGAUCCGGCUCAAGCGGGCAGUGCAAACUAUGACCCAGCCCCCGAGGGUGCCCGAGCAGGGUCUCCUUCCUGUACUUCCAUGGACGUUCAUGCGGGAUCUCCUCCACACUCUGGUUGUAUGGUGGUAGCUCAAACCUUGGACCAGGGAGUCGCUUUAGAGGGCAGCGUCCUCGCUGAUCAGGUGUUUGGCUCUGUUGAAGGCACCGAGCUGAUUCCUACUGGUUCAUUGCAAGCUGCUUCGGGUGGUGGUCUUUCGCCUGGUUAUCAACUGAUCUCUCCUGAUUUGGGGAUCCCUUCGUUCUUUUCCAACCUCCAGGUACUGUGAUGUAUUUUAGCUUGAUUUUUACAUUGCCUGAACUGCUGUUAUUACACUCAUCUGUUCUCCUCAUCAGGCUUUGGUGGAUGGGAUGGCCAGCCAGCUGAGAUUGCAGGGUGCUUCCGUCCCAGAAGUGGCUUCGUCUCUUGCGUGUUGGAAUCCAGUGUCACUUCAACAUCGUGUCUCUGAUUUGGAGGCAACUAACGUUGGUUAGUGCUUUUUUUUGCUUCUCUUUGCGUUCGCUGUGGACUGCUUUACCUUCUGACCCCGUUUUGUUUGAUUAUCUCUUUCUAGGAAUGACUCGGCAGAUUUCAAUUCUUGAGGAAAAACAUUCCCGAGAUCAGGCUGAAUUGGUUCAGCGGUGUGCUGACUUCGAGGAGAAGUACUCUCAGAGCCAAACUGAACUGGGUCAAGUCUCUGCUGCCUUGGAUGACGCCAAUGCAUUGAGUUCUUCUCUUCAUGCUCAGCUCGAUUCUGAAAAGGUAAUUUACAAAACUGUGCUUUGCCUUGCUGUGUUCCUAUUACUUGCUUGGUUUUUGAAGGAGUUGAUUUUUGCUUGCAGGAAGAAAAGCAUAUCCUUGCUGCUUCUCGUGACAAUCUUGACAGAUUGUAUCGUGAUUCUUGCAACUCGCUGACCAUCUUGGAGAGGAGUCACCGCUUUACAAUGGAGGAAUUGGACAAUCAACGUUGUAAGCUGCAGGAAUCCGCGGACGAAGUGACCUGCCUCAAGCAGCUGAUAUCAGCAAAGGAUGCCACCAUCAAGGAACUCCGAGCUUCCAAGAAAUCCAUUGUCCAGGAGUUAGAGACUGCUCGACUGGCUGCUAAAGUUGCCGAAGAAACUUCUGUUACUUUCAAAGCCCAGCGCGACAGAGCCAUGGACAAGGCUAUUCGGGCGGGACGAAUCUUGAUGAGGAGACCCGGCGUGGUUGUUCCUGAAGACAUAAGGGCUGAUGUGAAUGCUGCCCCUGAUUCCUCGAGUCGCCCUUCUUCGUCGGUCGCUCCUGAGAAAGACAUUGCGAAAUAGAGAAACAUUUUGCGUGCUUUGAGCGCGCGGUUAGCAUGAUCGAGUAUUUGUUAAAAGACAUCAGUUCAGCAUUCGAAUGAUAUAAUUACUCUCUUAUUGUAUCAGAAUUCAUCAGUUCGUAAAUCUGCAGUAAUGAAAUGACGCACGAUGAUUAUGAAAUUUGUUUGCGGGAUAUAGAAGUCAUCCCCUGAAUUGCAUAGGCAUGAGCAUGUUGCGCCGGCUUAAGUCGCCACUGACUUUAGCCGAUUGCUCCAUUAGUAGGGCAUAGUGGUCACCCCGAGUUAAGUAAGCGUGAGCAUGUUGCACCGGCUUAAGUCGUUGCCGACUUAAGUCGAUUGCUCCGUUAGUAGGGCACAGUGGUCACCCCGAGUUAAGUAGGCGUGAGCAUGUUGCACCGCCUUAAGUCAUUGCCGACUUAAGUCGAUUGCUCCGUUAGUAGGGCAUAGUGGUCACCCCGAGUUAAGUAAGCGUGAGCAUGUUGCACCGGCUUAAGUCGUUGCCGACUUAAGUCGAUUGCUCCGUUAGUAGGGCAUAGUGGUCACCCCGAGUUAAGUAGGCGUGAGCAUGUUGCACCGCCUUAAGUCGUUGCCGACUUAAGUCGAUUGCUCCGUUAGUAGGGCAUAGUGGUCACCCCGAGUUAAGUAAGAAUGCGAGUCAAUCGUAAAUGAACUGAGUAUCUUUGAAACCUCUUUUUUAUUGAUGAUAUAUUUCCACUUUACAGAGUACAUCGUCGUCCCAGCAGUUUUGAAUUACAGCUAGGGAUAAAACUUUCUGAGGUGUUCUAUGUUUCAGGAGUUCCCAACUUCUGUGCCAUCCAUCUGAGUGAGACGAUACGAUCCGGGCUGAGUGACUUCUGCUACCAUGAAGGGUCCUUCCCAUAAGGGUGAUAACUUGUGUCGACCCUCCCCCGUUAGAAUUCGGCGAAGGACGAGAUCUCCUACUGAGAAGAAUCGUUGUCACACAGCCUUGUCGUGAUAGCGCCUUAGAGUCUGCUGGUACCGUGCUGAUUGGAUUACUGCGUUAAGUCGUUCUUCUUCGAGUACAUCAAUGUCCUCCAGCCUGGUGGCCUCAGCUUCUGCUAUGCUUUCGAAGAUCAACCUUGGCGCCCCAAACUUGAGAUCGGCGGGUAGCACUGCCUCCGACCCAUAGACCAUGAAGAAAGGAGUGUUUCCAUGCAGGGCUCGGCUAGGUUGGGUUCUUAGGCUCCAAACGACAUAGGGCAAUUCCCUUAUCCACUUUCCUGCGAAUUUUUCAUUCUUGUCGAAGACCUUUUUCCUGAGUGCCUCCAGUAUCAUCCCGUUGGCUCGCUCAACCUGCCCGUUGGCUCGUGGAUGUGCUACAGAUGCAUACCUGAUCUGAAUGCUCUUUUGCUCGCAGAAGUCGAAGAAUUCUGAACUUGUGAAGUUGGAUCCUAAGUCAGUUAUGAUGCUGUUUGGUAUCCCGAAUCUGAAAAUUAUAUCUUGUAUGAAUUCCACGGCCUUAGCAGAGGUUAAAGAAGCAAUGGGCUUGAACUCUAUCCAUUUAGUGAAUUUGUCGAUCGCCACCAAUACAUGAGUGUAUCCCCCUUGAGCUUUCUUGAAAGGUCCAAUCAUAUCCAGUCCCCAGCAUGCGAAAGGCCAAGUUACUGGUAUGGUCUGCAGUUGCUGUGCUGGCAUGUGUUGUUGCUUUGACAAGUAUUGGCAAGCUUCGCACCUCUGAACUAACUCGGUUGCAUCGUUCUUGCUGUUGGCCAAUAGAAUCCUGAUCUGAAGACCUUCCCGACUAGUGUUCUGGAGGCUGCAUGUAUUCCACAUUGCCCAGCAUGGACCUCCUCUAGAAGUUGCUUCCCAGUGGACGGGAGAAUGCACUUCAUGAGGACGCCUGAUGCACCCCUUCUGUAUAAUGUCUCCCCAACGAGUGUAUAGUGAGCCGACUGUCUGGCAAUGCGUUCUGUCGAGUUCUUGUCGUCUGGUUCUUCUUCGUUCUUUAUAUACUUAAUGAUCGGCCUUCUCCAGUCAUCAGAGUCUGACUCGGGUUGAUCUAUGAUGUUGCAUUCCUCUGUUUGAUCCAUUGAGAUACUCGGCUGUAGAAUUUCUUGCACAAAGACUCCGGGUGGGACCUGAGUUCGACUGGAUUCUAGCUUGGACAGUACAUCGGCUGCUGUGUUCCGAUCUCUUUCUACAUGAUGAAAUUCCAGACCCUCGAAUUUAUCUUCCAACUUUCGGACGGCAGCGCAGUAUCUUCCCAUUGAAUCGCUUGAACAAUCCCAUUCCUUGUUUAUCUGGCUGAUGACUACCAGAGAAUCUCCAUAUACCAUCAAUCUCUUGACGCCCAAUGAUAUGGCGAUGUUCAAUCCAUGGAUCAGAGCUUCAUAUUCGGCUGCAUUGUUGGAGGCCGGAAAUAGCAGCUGGAGGGCGUACUUGAGGUGUUCGCCUCCAGGUGCGGUGAAGAGAAUCCCUGCUCCUGCUCCCUGCAGCUUCAGCGAGCCAUCAAAAUACAUUCGCCAUACUUCUGCAGUCUCUGGGUUAUCUGGUACUUGCUGUUCAGUCCACUCUGAUACGAAAUCAACCAGUGCUUGAGUUUUGAUGGCAGUGCGAGGUCGGAACUCGAUGUCAUGAGAUCCCAGCUCGCAAGCUCACUUGGCUAUUCGGCCAAUGGCUUCCUUGUUGUGAAGAAUAUCCCCUAUUGGAAAACCAGUGACUACUAUGAUUUUGUGGUCAUCAAAGUAGUGACGCAGCUUACAGGCAGUUAGAAGUACUGCGUAUAAUAGCUUCUGAACUUGAGGAUACUUUUUCUUUGAGGGGCCUAGAACUUCACUGAUGAAGUAAACAGGAUGUUGUACUGGAUAGGCAUGUCCUUCUUCUACUCGCUCGACUACCAACGCGGUGCUUACCACGUGAGUCGUGCAAGAGAUAUACAGUAGCAAAUCUUCAGCUGGUUGAGUUGACAUAGCUCGCCGAGGUGGCUUCAGUACUGGUGGUGUUGUCAAGAAUUUUUUCAGUGCAUCUAAAGCUUCUUGUGCUUCUGAAGUCCAUUGAAACUUAUCCACCCUCUUGAGUAGCUUGUAAAAUGGCAAACCUUUUUCCCCCAGCCUGGAUAUAAAUCUGCUCAGAGCUGCCAUACAUCCAGUAAGUCGCUGAACCUUCUUUUGUGAUCGAGGAGCUUCCAUUUUCAUGAUAGCCUCAAUCUUAUCCGGAUUAGCCUCAAUUCCUCGGUGGCUGACGAUAACCCGAGCAACUUUCCUGUUGGUACCCCGAAAACACAUUUUUCGGGAUUAAGCUUCCAUCUAUAUCGUCUCAGGCUAUUGAAAACCAGCUGUAAGUCUUCGAUGAAGUUUUCCGAAUUCUCCAUUUUUAUUACCACAUCAUCUACGUAGGCCUCCACACGCUUGCCCCAGUGAUUGGCUAAGCAUGUUUGAAUGGCUCUCUGAUAAGUCGCUCCAGCGUUUUUGAGGCCGAACGGCAUGGAGGUAUAACAAAAAGCACCAAACGGAGUGAUGAACGCCGUUUUUUCCUCGUCUUCCUUCGCCAAACUAAUCUGAUGAUACCCGGAAUAGCAAUCUAAGAAAGACAGCACAGAACAUCCAGCGGUGGAGUCCACCACCUGAUCUAUCCUUGGGAGCCCGAAGGGAUCCUUCGGACAGUGUUUGUUGAGAUCAGUAUAGUCGACGCACAUGCGCCAAUCCACUUUAUUCUUUUUGAGUACAAGAACAGGGUUGGCUAACCACUCGGGGUGUAAUACUUCUCUAAUAAAUCCAGCCGCGACCAAGCGAGCUAACUCGGCACGAAUGGCCUCUCUCUUGUCGGGCGUGAAACGACGUAGCUUUUGCCGAAUCGGCCUCGCCUGGGGAUAGACCUUCAGUUUGUGCUCGGGCAGUUCUCUUGGGACUCCCGGCAUAUCCGCAGGUUGCCAUGCGAAUACAUCUCGGUUAUCUUGCAGAAACUGGACGAGCGCGCUUUCCUAUUUGUCGUCCAAGCUGGAGCUGAUGAUAGCCGUCUUGCGCUCAUCAGCGAACCCCAGGUUGAUUCUCUUGGUUUCUUCAGUCGGCCGCAUAGAGGUCACGGCCUGAGCUUCGUUUGCCGGUACUGCGAGGUCCUCCUCAGGCUUAGAGUUCGCCAGUGUAGAAGGAACCGUCGACGGCUUGGUGGUGAGGGCUGCUUGGAUGGCCCCUCGGAAACACUCUGCGGCACCUUGGAAGUCGGCGCGCACAGUUAUGAUUCCUUGCGGUCCUGGCAUCUUCAGUAUCAUGUAUGUGUAAUGCGGAAUGGCCAUGAAUUUGGUCAAUCCUGGUCUUCCGAUGAUGGCGUUGUACCCGCAGUCGAAGUUCGCCACUUCGAACCUCAGGAACUCGGUUCUGUAGUUCUCCGGAGUUCCGAAGGUGACUGGCAUGUAGAUGUGGCCCAGCGGGUAUUCCCCUUCCGUCGGCACGAUGCCGAAGAAAGGAGUGUCUGACUCGUGGAGCUCUUUGAGGUGAACUCCCAAGCCUUGGAGUGUCCGGGGGAAGGUGACGUUGAUGCUGCUCCCCCCGUCCACUAGCACCUUCUUUACCCGGCUCUCUCGGAUCACCGGAUCGACGAGGAGCGGGUAUUUGCCUGGAUGGUCGAAGUUGAGCCAUUGAUCCUCCCGAGUGAAAGUGAUCGGGUGUUCCGACCACCGGUAUGGGGCGGGAGGACCGGUGGUCACCACCAGUAUCUGGCGGUCGUUGAGCUUUUGUUGUCUUUUGUUCUCCUGCGACCCAUGUCCACCGAAGAUGACGUUGACCUCCCUGUCGACGCAUGGGAAAGCUCCUCCUCCUCCCUCCUCCUGCUGAUGGGGUUGUCGUGGCUCAUCUGGUCCUCCCCUCGGCGGAGGAGGAGGUAGAGGUUGGAAGGGUCGGUCGUGUCCGACGGAAUGCUUGAAGUCCCGACAGUUACGAAGAGUGUGGCGCAUGUCCUUGUGGUACGGGCACUGGGCGUCGAGGAUGUCGUCCAGCGUGCGUUCGCCUCCACAAGGUCCUCCUCGGGCGCGAGAGGCAGGUGGUCCGGCGGCAUGUACAUCUUCGCGAGGCCUCUUCUCCCAUCGUUUGUCGGGUUGCUGGUUCGCGUCGCGUCGUGGGGCUACCGGUGCGGGCUUUGUCCCUCCGAUGAGGUCCUGGGCCCGCUCGUCGGCGGUGAUGUAGAGGUCGGCUUCCCGGAACAGCUCCUCGGAAGUAGUCGGCGCCUUCUGUAGUAUGGCUCGGACGAAAGCCGAGUCGUUGGAUCCUCUGUAGAAGUCCUCGAUCACGGCCGCCUCCGUGACCUCGGGGAUACGAUUUCUCAUGGUCUGGAACCUUUUGAGGUACGACCGGAGAGUCUCAUCCCCCCGGCGCUUGAUGGAUUUGAGGUCCCACGGUUGUGCCGGCUUGUCGGAGAGGGACUGGAAGUUGGCGGUGAAGCGUCGACUGAAGUCCCCCCAGUCGUCGAUGCAGUGUCGGGGUAGAUGUCGCAGCCAUUGCAGCGCGUCUUGCCCAAGGACGAUGGGUAAAUACGCGGUCAUCACAUCUUCGGACGCCCCGGCAGCUCGAGCAGCGGUGGUGUAGACGGCUAGCCAACCCCCUGGAUCCUUCUUAGGUUCAUAUUUGUCGACAUUGGAUAUCUUGAAGUUGGGAGGCCAUUGGAUGGCCCUAAGGCGCGGAGUGAGAGCGGACACUCCGCACGUGUCCUCCUGUCGUCGGAGAUGAUGUCUGUCCCGGGGAGGGGAGUUACGGUUAUGGUUCCUCGACCGUCCCCGGGUGGUACCGCCAGUUGAGGCUGUUGCCGACUCAGUUCUGGUGGCCUGGCUCUGAGCCGGGAUGCCAUGAUCCCUGUCGUAUUCCUCUCGGCGGCGAAUCUCGUUCUCAUGCCGCUGUUCGCAUGAAGCAUUGAUGGAGCUUCGCGCGUCUCGGCGGCUGUUGAUGGCGUGUCAUAGAUCGUUCGGUGGGUGUAUAGGUGUACAUUUGUGAUGUGCCUAAUAGGCCGGCCCAAAGCACACAAUUUUUGGCACGGCCUAUAUCUGGCACGGCCCAACCUAAUUGUGGGCCUGGGACGGCACGGCCCACAUUGUGGGCCGUGCCUGGGCCUCAAGUCAAGCCCACGGGCCGGCCUGGCACGGCCCAUUUAACUAAGGCCCACUGAGGCCCACUAAAUAUAGACUCAGUAUUUAACUAAGGUCCAUCAAAUCCCACAUAACUAGCAUAACUUGGAGAAUCUAGAGCUUCAAUAAGCCAUCGAGAACCAAUACCUAUAUAUGGAUAGUGAAUAGUGAUGAUGAUCAUUGUAUAUGUAUUCUGUAUGGAUGUAUAGUACUCAAUUAAACACUAAACAGUGAACUGAAUAUUAUUUGUGAGCUAGUUGUAAUUUUUUUUCUUUCUGACCAAAGGUUUAUAAUGUGCAUCCACAAAACAUCUUAGUUUUAUUUUGGUUAUAUAUAUAUUAUACUUUUUGUUGAUGUAUUACUGUUGUAUGUAUAUGGGCCGGUCUGGCACAUUAAGACAUUUUGGGCUAUUUGGGCCGGCCUGGCACACAUAACUAAUUGUGGGCCAUGCCGUGGGCCGAUGACUGGGCACACGUGCUGGCACGGCACGGCCCAUAAUUGGAUAUGUGCUUUUGUGGGCCGUGCCUUUGUGGGCCGUGCUUUUAUGGGCCUGUGCCGUGCCAGGCCAGGCCGGCCCACAUGUACAUGUAUAGGUGGGUGAGCAAGCGGCAGAAGAUGGUUGGUCGCCUGGGUGAACAGUCGUCGGUAGCCCUCAGCGUCGGGAGUCCGAGGAAGUCCAUCAGCUAUCCGAGCUAGUACCCCUCCGACUUCGCUCGGCGUGUUCAUAGCUCGGGCGAAGUCGGGAUUCAAGUUGCGCCCGAAGAAUGGAUUCUCCCGGCGUUGCCUUGCAUCUUGCUCAGCUUGUUCCUGAGCCCGUCGGCGAUCACGUCGUCGGGAGUUCCUUCGUUCUCUGAAGACGCGUUCUUCCGGAGUUUCUCUUAUCUCCGAGACCUCGUCUCGCGAGACAGGCUGCUCCGGAUCCCGUUCUCCGGCCGCGUGAUGUCGUCGAACGUUCCUGCGCCGAUUCCUCCGUCGGCGGGAUUCUCGUUGAGGCGGUUCUUCUCCAGGUGCGGUUGGCUCGUCGUCGGAGACGGUAGGCGACUCCACCCUCCCGAUGAAGAGGACAUCGGGGUAGAAUGGCGCUGCUGUCGUGGCGACCUUCUUUCCAUUCUCCUUUGAGGCCGGAGGAACGGAAAGAACAACUUGCUUCUCCCUGGUCUCCUUCUUCUUCGCGAUCUGUGUCCAUUCUUUUGUCGGAGAAGUAGACGGUGGAGUUCUCCGGGUCAGCGAGUCCUCGGCCCCCGACUUUCCGGAGACGAUCUUUUUCCGGAGAGCUGGAGGUUGCGCUUCUCCGGCAUUUUCGGAGUUCGUUGGAGGAGACUUCUUUUCCGGCGGAUCUGCGAUACGGUGUAGAAUUCCCUCUUCAUCCGCUACAGAUGAGAUUGUUCCGAAGCAGAAUACGGAUCCGGGACGCAGGGUGAUCUUGCUGUAGAAGGUGACGGCCAUUGAGCUAGCUUGGAUCGUCGACACACCCCCUACCUGGCGCGCCAGCUGUCGGUGUUUUGGGUCCGACCGCACACCCGGGGUUGCCCCUCAAGGUGUUUUUAGGAGUAGGACGAUGUCGACAACUGUAGCAAAAUGGUUCGUGCCGAUUGCACGAGGAACAGUGGACAAGGUUUACAGGUUCGGGCCGCUUAGAGAUGCGUAACACCCUACGUCCUGGUGAGUAUGCUUGGUGAAUGUGGUUACAAGAGAGCUCUCUGGAUUGAGAAUACAGAGAGUUGACGUGGGUGGCUAAGUAAUAGGGUCGAUCGUUCUGAAGGGGUGCCCCCUAGGCCUUAUAUACUCGACCGUGGGGCAAUACAUGUGGAUAUGAUAACAACGAGUAGCUAGAAGAUAGUGAACUGCUUGAGUUUAUCUCCAUGUAAUCCUGCUGACUUAUCCUCGCAUGGCUCCGUUGCAUGGGGGCUCCAGCGCGGGAGAGUCGGACCUCUGUUGUGGUCACUCGCUCGACGUUGUGGGUCGUCCGGGUUUGCACCAAUCCGGCCUCAUGUCGAUCUGCUCUGCUGGUUGUCUCUCCCCAGGCCCACGAAAGAAUGACCUUACGAUUUAUUGGGCCCUUGGGCCUUUCGUGAGGUCUUUUACUCUUUUAGUGGACCCGGGGGGAUAUCUAUCCCCCACACCUAGGCACAUUCAAUAGAUCAAAUCAUCUCCAAGCCAUCAAAUCAACUCAGUUUCAUUAGGGACUUGAGAGAGGGUGUUUUGUGUUCUUUUGUUGCUCUUGUCACUUGGAUUGGCCUUUUCUUUUCCCUUUUAUUUCUCAAGUGACUUGUAAUCGAAGCAAGAGACACCUAAGUAUGUAGUGGUCCUUGCGGGGUCUAAGUGACCCGAGAGAUUAAGGAAAAGGCUCACUCGGUCUAAGUGACCGUUUGAGAGAGGGAAAUGGUUGAAAUAGACCCGGUCUUUGUGACCUCCUCAAUGGGGACUAGGUUUUUUGGAACCGAACCUCAGUAAAACAAAUCACCAUGUUCACUCUCCUUGAUUCUUGUUUGAUUUGUUUUCCCGUCUCUAACGUUUCCUUGCUAGUGUGAAUUUGAGUUGGCUCCCAUAAGUCAUCUGCAAUCCUUGAGCAACUCCUAGCAAGAGAGAUAUUUUUUUGGACUUGAAUUUAAUUCUAAUGCUAACCCCCGACCUUAGUGUGUGUUUAAGUUUAUAAAUUUCAGGUUUCGCCUAUUCACCCCCCCUCUAGGCGACUUUCAUUGUGUUAAUUGGAACAUGGAGAACCACCCGGGAAAACAGUGCUACCACAAGGGUGGUAUGGGACACUCUUGGCUGACCAAUUAGGAAAGCUAGUCUAGGACUACCUUACUCGAAAGGGGCAAGGGAGGUAGAGGAGCUGCCGAUAUAGGGAGGUUCUCGGAUCGAUCAUACGACUAUGACUUUUUGGACGAUGGAUUCCUAUAUCUCCCUUCUCAAAAACCAUAUCGGGUUUUCUAAAGCUAGUGGAACUUUGUAAAGACCUCAUAGUGCUACCCUGCCUCGUCUCCUCGGUAUAGAUGUAUGGGAUUCAUGACCCUAGCAAAUGGGUAACACGAUUUGUGGGUAAAGAUGCACAACCUCUGCAGAGUGUAAAACCGGUAUAUCAGUUGUGCUCACGGUCAAGAGCAGCUCAGACACUCACAUGAGUAACUUAUGAAAUUUAACUUAAUUUAUCAUUUGCAUUGCAUUGUGGGAUCUAUUAUUAAUUGUGAAUUCUUAUUUAAUUGGGCUGGUAUCUACUUGUACUUAGUAACUGCUAAUAAAACUUUGAGCAACUUAUUAAAAUCAAUGUGCAGCCUUAACCAUCUUCUUUGGUAAGUGUUACACUUCACAUGAGCCCACACCGUAAGUGAGCUCAUGCACAUUAUUUCCCACAACUUGUUGAGCGAUGAAUGUAUGUGAGCUCACCUUGCUGUACUCAUACCCCUAGGUCAAGAAUAGUACCGUAAGAUAAGGAGCAUGAAGGAUCCUGCGAUAAGUUCGUGAGAAGUCUAGGUCGUCGUCUCCCAGACAACUAUGAUUGCGAAGGAUCGUUGUCGUUAUAUGAUAUAAUUAUUUAGUUAUUUUAUACAGAAAUCCUAUUAAGUAAUAAAGAUGUGGCAUUGCUUUCUGUACCAUGAGUCAUCAUAUGUGUGAUACUUGAUCCUAACACAUAUUUGAUUCGCGCUCGGAUUUGACCUUAAAUUCGGGUGUGACAUAAAGCUAGCAAGAGACCUAAGUGUGUGGUGAUCCUUGCAGGAUCUAACUGACCUUCGAGAUUGAGAAGAACACUCAACCGGUCUAAGUGGUCAUUUAAGAGAGGGAAAGGGUUAAAAGAGUCCCGUCCCUGGUGGACUCCUUAAUGGGGAGUAGGUUAUUCGUAACCGAACCUCGGAAAACAAAUCGCACGUGUUCUUUGUAUUUGAUUCUUGGUUGUGAUUUGUUUCUUCCUCUCCCUUCUCUUUAGUUCUCUUGCUUGCUUUUGAUUUCGUAUCAACUAAGUUGCUUUCAAAGUAAUCUGCAAUCAUUUGAGCAACUUGCCUAAGAACUCUCUCUCCCGCACUCCAAUCGUUCUUAUUUUCGUUCUAGCGCUAAUCCGGAGUUGAAGCUUGUGUUUUAAGUUUAAAAUUUUAAGUUUCACCUAUUUACUCUACCUCGGGACUUUCACGCGCAUUGUGACCUGUCUAAGACCAGCUCCGGUAGUUUACCCUCUCCAUCCGUAAAUCAAUCCAUCCAUUCGCAACAACAGUAUGUUCAUCCUUCUCCUCCUUCCAGCAGCGACUCGCAUCCCUCUCCGUAUCGAGCGAUGAUUGGCUUGCGUGCCACCAGACGAAGAGCAAUAGUUGGCCACGGUUGUCGCUACCAGCAUCCGUCGCCACGUCCGUCACGCACUACGCCGCCAGAGCCACGUCCGACAAAAAAAGGCGCUCACGAGCGAGCGAUGGAGCGGCCACUGCAGUCGGCUUCUUUCUUGGCCUAAGUCGGGACAUGACGCGAGAUGGUGCCGUUGCUGGUGAACUCAUGCUCCCGGCGGUGGACGUGAGCUCCCGGCGCUGGUGGACUCGGUGGAGGGGCUCCUGGGCAGUGGGCACGGACUGUUGGUCCGAGAUAGGAAUCCCAGUCCACACGUCACCCCUGUUGCCGAAGGAACAAGAACAAGCCACCGGCCACCCCAAAAUUAGUUGUCAACCCCAUCGCUUCAUUCACGUACUCAUGUCUCCUCCACCGCCCUUGCUUGCUAAAAAAAAACUGCAACUACAAUGCCCUCGACGAACCUCCGCAGCGCCCGGCAAUCAACCUCAUGCUGGAUUUGCUCCAGACGUCGACGUUGCGCCUGUACCGCGUGUGGGGACGAUGAGCGCUCCCUGACGCUGUCUUGGGAGAGCUGCAAGAUGAGACACUCCAUCCCGCGCAGCCCUGUCGUGGCGUCCUCCUGGAUGGACACCUGCAUCGCUGUCGCCCUCCACCAACUCACCUGAACGAAGAAUAGAAUAAAAAAUGGAGGGAGCUGAGGGGGCAGUGGUUGCGCUGUAGGGAGGAGAGAGACCGCGUCAUUAUAAGACUAUCUGCAACCGUUACCUCUAAAUUUUUCCCUCUAUAUCAUUUUUUCCCCAUAUUUUCCCCCCUAUUUUUUCAUCUCCCGCAACGGUUUCUCCUAAAUACUCCCCCUAUAUCUCACUACCACUAUAAAAUAUUAUUUUUUAUACCAACUAUCAAUUUUUUAUCUACUAACAAUUACUCGUGGACCCACAGCACAGUGUUUAGGAGAUGAACAGUGACACGCUAUAUCUGGGGGGAGAGAGAAAGAGGCCGGCGCGUAGGGGGCGCCGUAGGGGCACUGCUGCGGCUGUAGAGUACCCCCUACACGCCGCAUGCAAGGGAAGGGGGCAAUGUUGCGCAUAGCCUAAAGAGCGGAUGAAGCGGCUUGCAAUUUGCACGCUGGAUUCAUAAAUAGUGCAUAUUACUAAAAAAAAGGGUGGGGAUAGGUAUAGAGAGUCUAUUAGAGUUGAUCUAAGACCCGGUUUAUUUCAGAUUAUAAUCUGUCCGGAUUAUAUAAUCCAGCGCAAAUAAUACAGUAGGUAAACAAACAACUAGAUUAUGGGUUCAGAUUAUAUAAUCUAAACCCCAGAUUAUGAUAAUCUCAUAAUCUCCUCAAGAGUAGCUUAUUGGAGAUUAUUUUGGCAAAAGACCCACUACCCAUGGUUAUGUAAAUAGAAAUUAUAAUAUAUAUCAUCUUUUUUCUCACCUUAAAUAAACAAAUAAGGGUAUUGUUGUCUUUAUGAAUAAUCUACAUUUGUAUAAUCUAAACUACCAAACAACUACAUCUAGAUUAUAAUCUGGAUUAUAUAAUUUAAAUUAUAAUCUAGAUUAUAUAAUUUAUAAGCUGAAACAACCCGGCCCUAAAGCACUAUCGUAUCACCUAUCUGAAAUAAGUCACGGGUUUCGAACGUCCACUUGCGUCGCACGGAAUUGCAUGUUUCUUGUUGGAAGCAUAUUCACGCAAUCUCCACACAUAAAGGUUUAUGUAUAAACUUACAUUUAGCUCAGUUUAAUUACAGUCUUAUUUGGAUGCAUAUGUAUGGUUCUCAAUCCAUAUAAGUUAGAGUAAAAAAUAAGUUUAAAUUUUAUCUUAAUUCACUCCAACAUAUAUGGAUUGAGUACAAUACUCAUGUGCAUCCAAACAAACUACUUAUAUUGAGGUGAAUUUGGAUAGAAAUUAAACUAACUUACACACUAAGCCAAUCUUUACUAUAUUAAAGCACCAGUUUCAACGAUCGUCCCGCGUCAAUAUUAUUAAAAAACUCCUACAUUUCUUUAUAAUCAACCCGCACUCUUAUAAUCUCUUCUCUACUACUAUAAUAAGAGAGUUUAUGUACAAAAUAAGGUGAAAUUAUGUAUAAGUGUUCUGGAUAUUGGUUGUUGGCUCCAUAUUCACACAACCUAAUCAAUAGAAAACAUAUGUUUUAUUAAAACAAAAUUUAUCAUAUAUCAUAUAUAUAUAUAUAUAUAUAUAUAUAUAUAUAUAUAUAUAUAUAUAUAUAUAUAUAUAUAUAUAUAUAUAUAUAUAUAUAAACCGUAGCAAUGCACGGGCAUAUAACUAGUGCAACUUAAUACAUGUGUGUAUUAAGAUGAAUAAGAGGGUAUCCAAAUAAAAAACUUGUUCGCUUACGUCUGGAUCGAAAGGGGUUGGAAACGAUUAAAUCUCUUCCUAGUCAAAAUUGAAUAGAAGGAGAUUUAAUCUCUCCCAAUCCCUUUCGAUCAUCCAGGUGCAACCGUAUAAGUCCUAAAGUGGUGAGGAACACGAAACAACCAUGCAUUGGCAUGUAAAGCUCCAAGAAUUUGUUGUAUCCUUAACAACUCACAGAACAUCAACCAAAAUUGCACGUCAAGGGUAUUGGGUAAGAAACAAUCAAACAAAUCCUCUCUGUGUGCAAAGAAACACGGUGAGUCAUGCCGAGAUCAUACUCAUCUGAUAUACAUGCUUACAGCUCACAAGACAUUACAAACAACUCAUAUUGCAUUACAAAGAUCGUUUCAUGAAAAAUAAAAUAGGCCGGACAGGACAAAAAUCCUUGACGUGUAAAGUAAAUUUACAACAAAAAAAAGCCAUAUGUCAAGCUAAAUCUAAUUCGUUUUACGUAGAUCAACAACCUGUAGAAGGCAACAAAACUGAGCCACGCAGAAGUACAGAAUGAUUCCAGAUGAACCAUCGACGUGCUACGUAAAGAGAGUGACGAGUCAUAUACAUUUGGCAAGAAACCAUGAAGCUGCCUACAGCCGUCUCGGUGGCAUAAGAACACAAGAAAUUGUGUUAAUUAAUCAAAGCUAUAAAUAACGCUCGCAUGCCUGUGCACUUCUCCAUCACCACCACUGGGUCUUCAGACCAUUAGCUUUAUCUACUCCAGAGCGCAGAAGAACCCGAUCGACACCAUGAGGGUGUUGCUCGUUGCCCUCGCUCUCCUGGCUCUCGCUGCGAGCGCCACCUCCACGCAUACAAGCGGCGGCUGCGGCUGCCAGCCACCGCCGCCGGUUCAUCUACCGCCGCCGGUGCAUCUGCCACCUCCGGUUCACCUGCCACCUCCGGUGCAUCUCCCACCGCCGGUCCACCUGCCGCCGCCGGUCCACCUGCCACCGCCGGUCCAUGUGCCGCCGCCGGUUCAUCUGCCGCCGCCACCAUGCCACUACCCUACUCAACCGCCCCGGCCUCAGCCUCAUCCCCAGCCACACCCAUGCCCGUGCCAACAGCCGCAUCCAAGCCCGUGCCAGCUGCAGGGAACCUGCGGCGUUGGCAGCAC
rnacentral:lncRNA from 1 species